rnacentral:rRNA from 1 species
CCUACGGGAGGCAGCAGUGAGGAAUAUUGGUCAAUGGGCGGGAGCCUGAACCAGCCAAGCCGCGGGAGGGAAGAAGGUACAGCGUAUCGUAAACCUCUUUUGUCAGGGAACAAAGGCGGGGACUAGUCCCCGGAUGAGGGUACCUGAAGAAAAAGCAUCGGCUAACCCUGUGCCAGCAGCCGCGGUAAUACGGAGGAUGCGACCGUUAUACGGAUUUAUUGGGUUUAAAGGGUGCGCAGGCGGCCUUUUAAGUCAGCGGGAAAAGCCCGGGGCUCAACCCCGGGGAGCCGUUGAACCUGGAGGGCUGGAGUUGGAGAGAAGUACGCGGAAUGCGCGGGGUAGGGGUGAAAUGCUGAGAUAGCGCGCAGAACCCCGAUGGCGAAGGCAGCGUACCGGCUCCACACUUACGCUGAGGAACGAAAGCGUGGGUAUCGAACAGGAUUAGAUACCCUUGUAGUC